AGGGAGGCUGUCCAGCACUGCCCGUGGGACCCUUGGGACAGCACUCUUCCCUGGACCCUCCUUUGAGAAGGAACUGGAGACUCUUGUAACCCUGGCUGCCUGGAACUGGCCUUGUGGACCAGGCUGCCUGGAACUGGCAGAGAUCAGCCUGCUUCUACCUCACAAGUGUUGGGAUUAAAGAAUUGUGACACCAAGCCUGGAUGGAGACAAAUUCUUUGUGAUUUUUGAGGUGGAGUCUGUUCUAUAUCCCAGGCUGGCCUCAAACUACUGGUCCUCCUGCCUCCACCAAAUUCCCAGUGCUACGAUUACAGGCAUAUGCUACCGUAUCUACACUGGGGACCGUGUGUGCGUGCGUGCGUGUGUGUGUGUGUGUGUGUGUGUGUGUGUGUGUGUGCCCAUGUGUUCACUUGUGUAGAACCUAGAGAUGGAGGCCAGUUGUCUUUCUCUGUCACUCUCUAUCUUAUUGGUUUUUUAAUUUUUUCUUCUUCUUAUUUUAUGUGUACGGAUGCUAUGCCUGCAUGUAUCUCUCUGUCUCUGUGUCUGUUUCUCUGUGUGUGUGUAUACCAUCUACAUGCCUGGUGCCCUCCUAGGCCAGAAGAGGGCACUAGAUUUCCUAGAACUGGAUUCCUAGACAGUUGUGAGCUGCCACAUGGGUGCUGGGAAUUGAAUCUGGGUCCUUUGCAAGAGCAGCCAGUGCUCUUAACUGCUGAGCCAUCUCUCAGUCCCCACCUUAUUGUUUAACAAGAUCUCUCACAGAAUCUGGAGCCGCCUGAUUUGGCGAGAUGACUAGCAAGCCCUCAGAUCUUCCUGGAUCCCUCUCCCAGUACUACAAGUGGACCCAACUGUACCCAACCUCUAGGUGGGUACCUGACAUCCAGACUCAGAUCCUCAGGCUUGGAGAGACAGCACCUCACCCACUGAGCUCUAUUCCCAGCCCCAGCAUAACCUAUAAACUACAAAGACCUACACUCUGCUGCAGAAGAAUUUCUAAUACAAUUGAAGGGCAAAAAGGAGCAAGAACACAGAAGCAAUCAAAUGUGGUAGUGCAGGUAGGUCUACAAUCCCAGCACUCAGGAAGCAGAGGCUGGCCACGAGUUCUGGGCCAGCCAGAGCAACAUAGAGAGACCAUAUCUCAGAAAAGUAUGUGUAUCUAUUUAUAUACACACAUUCCAUACCCACAAAUCACCACACGCCCAUCUCCUGGCACAUUCAGAGAAUGGUGUUGGACAAGGCCAUCGCACAGGUUUCUCACCAGUUAAAAGGGAGGCACCCUGGGCACAGCACGCAGGUUGAGCUCCACAGAAGCCCACGCACACAGACCCACGGGGGUGCUGCUGCAAGGGGGAGGCUGCAUCUCGGGCAGGGCCUCCAGGAGGAAGUGCAAAGCCACAGUGCCUUGCUAAGGAUCCCCUUAGCAAAAGUCAAGGGGACUGUGUGAGGCCGGAAUGACCACGUACUGAGGAAGCUACACUUCAGUCCACAUUUGUUUGCUCCGGCUGGGGAUUAGCUCGGUGGUAAGCACCUGCUCAGCAUGUUUAGGGCCCUAGGUUCCACCUGCAGCUCUGCAAAAACAAGUAAGUAAAUAUCAGCGGUUAUAAAAAUGUAUAAAUAAAUAACCACUGAUAAAUACAUAAAAUUUAUCAGCGGUUAAGAGCACUUAGUGCUCUUGCAGAGGACCUGGGUUCAGUUCCCAGCACCAACGUGGCAGGUCACAACUCCCCGUAACUCCAGUUCCAGGGGAACCCAAUAUCCUUUUCUCAUUUCUAUGGGUCCCAGGUAUGCACAUGGUGCAUGCACACACAUACAUGCAGGUAAAACAUGCAUACACAAGGCAGGCACAGUGCACUUGCAGGAGGCAGAGGCAGAGGCAGGCAGAGUUCCACUAAUUGAGGCCAUCCAGGUCUACAUAAUAAGUCCUAGGCCAGCCAGGGCUACACAGUAAGAUCCUGUCUCAAAACAAAACCAAACCACCCAUACUCAUAAAAUAGAAAUAAAUCUUUUUAAAAGUAAGAACAUUUGCCACUCUCGGCACAGUCGGAUGCCUCCUCCUCUAGCUGCUGGUGUUUUCUUUGUUGUGGGUUUCAGUCAUUUGCCUGCGGAGAACCUGGUGCAGUUUUCCUCCUGCAUCUGGGGUUUCACUUUUGUUGAACCCGUGGGGUCACCACCGUCAGCACGGCGUGGGAGAUUUUCACCGUGACACCUUUAGUGUUUCUUCUGUUCUCCCUGUCUGUCUUCUGCCCGCUUGAAGGAGCUCAGAGUUCCCUGGGUUCCCACUCUUCUCUCCUGUCUUUUCUCCUCUGAUUUAUCUGGGGGCAGUUUCUGUUCAGUGAGCCUGGCUGUUUCAGCCCUCAGCUAUGAGUUCAUGAAGUGAAAAUGGUGGGUGGAGACAGGGCACACGUGACCUGGGGGCAGGUGCCACCUGACCACGCCUCGUAAUGUGGCUUCGUCUGAGCACAAGGUCUUUAGAGAGGCUAUCAGGACUAAGUGUGGCCUCUAUGGUGGUCUAGGCUUGUCUGAAGAGGAGAUCAGGACACAGGAACACCACACGGGAACAUGGAGAGAAAACUCUGCCCAACCCUGGAGAGAGGGGCCUGGGAGGACACAGUCCCGACCACCCUGCCCGGAGGUAAACGUCUGUGGAUGAAGCAGCCUCCUCGUCCUGGAACUCAGCGCGGCAGCUGAAGCAGGCUACCCCCUUCACACCCGAGCAAGCAAGGAAGAAGCAAGCACGCUUCCCUAAGCACGCCAAGGUCAACUUGUCUUUGCCAGCCAUUAGAUGCUGUAUCACGAGACAUAUGUUGGUCCCUCCAUACUGGACAUCUUGUUCUCCAGAAUCGUGUGACAGAUGGUUGGUAGAAUGCUCUCCUGGUAUGCAUGAAGGCCCUGGGUUUGAUCCCCAGCGUUACAUACACCAGGUGAAGUGGCACACACAUGUGAGACCAGCACAGAGGUAGAAGCAGUAGGAUCAGGAGUUCAAGGCCAGCCUGGGCUACAUGACACACUGACUCCAAAAAUAAAAAAAACAAACAGCAAGAUACUGUUUGUUACCAGUGCCCCAGUGGGAUUCUGUUAUAGAAACUUCCUAACAGAAACCCGGAUUCCCUACCUGCAUCCCUCAGGGUUCAAAAGACAUCGUCUGGGACAGACACCCGGCACAGCACCUGCUUUCUCCCCUUUACCUUCAGGACAUUUUGCUAUUACUUUAGCAACAGAGCUGACAAAGAAAGUUGGAAACAUCAAAAUACACCAAGAAUGAAGAACUAA